UGGGGGAAUUUUGACAAUGGGCGAAAGCCUGAUCCAGCAAUGCCGCGUGUGUGAAGAAGGCCUUCGGGUUGUAAAGCACUUUUGUCCGGAAAGAAAUCCUUGGCUCUAAUACAGUCGGGGGAUGACGGUACCGGAAGAAUAAGCACCGGCUAACUACGUGCCAGCAGCCGCGGUAAUACGUAGGGUGCAAGCGUUAAUCGGAAUUACUGGGCGUAAAGCGUGCGCAGGCGGUUUGCUAAGACCGAUGUGAAAUCCCCGGGCUCAACCUGGGAACUGCAUUGGUGACUGGCAGGCUAGAGUAUGGCAGGAGGGGGGUAGAAUUCCACGUGUAGCAGUGAAAUGCGUAGAGAUGUGGAGGAAUACCGAUGGCGAAGGCAGCCCCCUGGGCCAAUUACUGACGCUCAUGCACGAAAGCGUGGGGGAGCAAAACAGGAUUAGAUACCCUGGUAGUCCACGCCCUAAACGAUGUCAACUAGUUGUUGGGGAUUCAUUUCCUUAGUAACGUAGCUAACGCGUGAAGUUGACCGCCUGGGGAGUACGGUCGCAAGAUUAAAACUCAAAUGAAUUGACGGGGUCAUAGCUGUUUCCU
rnacentral:rRNA from 1 species